UGCAAGUCGAACGAUGAUGCCCAGCUUGCUGGGUGGAUUAGUGGCGAACGGGUGAGUAACACGUGAGUAACCUGCCCUUGACUUCGGGAUAACUCCGGGAAACCGGGGCUAAUACCGGAUAUGAGCUACCUUCGCAUGGGGGUGGUUGGAAAGUUUUUCGGUCAGGGAUGGGCUCGCGGCCUAUCAGCUUGUUGGUGGGGUGAUGGCCUACCAAGGCGACGACGGGUAGCCGGCCUGAGAGGGCGACCGGCCACACUGGGACUGAGACACGGCCCAGACUCCUACGGGAGGCAGCAGUGGGGAAUAUUGCACAAUGGGCGAAAGCCUGAUGCAGCGACGCCGCGUGAGGGAUGAAGGCCUUCGGGUUGUAAACCUCUUUCAGCAGGGAAGAAGCGCAAGUGACGGUACCUGCAGAAGAAGCGCCGGCUAACUACGUGCCAGCAGCCGCGGUAAUACGUAGGGCGCAAGCGUUGUCCGGAAUUAUUGGGCGUAAAGAGCUCGUAGGCGGUUUGUCGCGUCUGGUGUGAAAACUCGAGGCUCAACCUCGAGCUUGCAUCGGGUACGGGCAGACUAGAGUGCGGUAGGGGAGACUGGAAUUCCUGGUGUAGCGGUGGAAUGCGCAGAUAUCAGGAGGAACACCGAUGGCGAAGGCAGGUCUCUGGGCCGCAACUGACGCUGAGGAGCGAAAGCAUGGGGAGCGAACAGGAUUAGAUACCCUGGUAGUCCAUGCCGUAAACGUUGGGCACUAGGUGUGGGGCUCAUUCCACGAGUUCCGUGCCGCAGCAAACGCAUUAAGUGCCCCGCCUGGGGAGUACGGCCGCAAGGCUAAAACUCAAAGGAAUUGACGGGGGCCCGCACAAGCGGCGGAGCAUGCGGAUUAAUUCGAUGCAACGCGAAGAACCUUACCAAGGCUUGACAUGCACGGGAAGCCACCAGAGAUGGUGGUCUCUUUGGACACUCGUGCACAGGUGGUGCAUGGUUGUCGUCAGCUCGUGUCGUGAGAUGUUGGGUUAAGUCCCGCAACGAGCGCAACCCUCGUCCCAUGUUGCCAGCGGG
rnacentral:rRNA from 1 species